GGAGGAUCAUUAUCGUAGGGCUUCGGCCCUGUCGAGAUAGAACCCUUGCCUUUUUGAGUACCUUUCGUUUCCUCGGCAGGCUCGCCUGCCAAUGGGGACCACAAAAAACACUUUGCAGUACCUGUAACAGUCUGAACAAACAAAACAAAAAUUACAACUUUCAACAACGGAUCUCUUGGUUCUGGCAUCGAUGAAGAACGCAGCGAAAUGCGAUAAGUAGUGUGAAUUGCAGAAUUCAGUGAAUCAUCGAAUCUUUGAACGCACAUUGCGCCCUUUGGUAUUCCUUAGGGCAUGCCUGUUCGAGCGUCAUUUAAACCUUCAAGCUAAGCUUGGUGUUGGGUGACUGUCCGCUUCACUGCGGACUCGCCUCAAAAUUAUUGGCGGCCGGUACAUUGGCUUCGAGCGCAGCAGAAACGCGAACUCGGGCCCGUCGUAUUGGCUCCCAGAAGCUAUCUUCACAAUUUUGACCUCGGAUCAGGUAGGGAUACCCGCUGAACUUAAGCAUAUCAAUAAGCGGAGGA
rnacentral:rRNA from 1 species